UUGCUUAUUUAUCCUACUCAAACCAUCUUCAUCAAAGGGAGAAUGAAAUUAUCCACCAUUGCAAAAGAAUGAAAUCCUUCGAUGCUUUAUGCAAACUUGACUUCUCCAAGGCCUUUGAUAAUUUGAAUUUGAACUAUCUAAUAGAUCUCUUUCUUCAUAGUGGUUUCCCUCUGAAAUGGUGCAGUCGGAUUAAAAAUAUUCUUUUCUCUUCCAAGGUAGUGCUCUAUACCAAAGGUGAACAAGAUGCCUGAUUUAUCUAUAAAAAAGAGGCAGGCAAGU
rnacentral:lncRNA from 1 species